AUUGAACGCUGGCGGCAUGCCUUACACAUGCAAGUCGAACGGCAGCACGGGUGCUUGCACCUGGUGGCGAGUGGCGAACGGGUGAGUAAUACAUCGGAACAUGUCCUGUAGUGGGGGAUAGCCCGGCGAAAGCCGGAUUAAUACCGCAUACGAUCUACGUAUGAAAGCGGGGGACCUUCGGGCCUCGCGCUAUAGGGUUGGCCGAUGGCUGAUUAGCUAGUUGGUGGGGUAAAGGCCUACCAAGGCGACGAUCAGUAGCUGGUCUGAGAGGACGACCAGCCACACUGGAACUGAGACACGGCCCAGACUCCUACGGGAGGCAGCAGUGGGGAAUUUUGGACAAUGGGCGAAAGCCUGAUCCAGCAAUGCCGCGUGUGUGAAGAAGGCCUUCGGGUUGUAAAGCACUUUUGUCCGGAAAGAAAUCCUUGGCUCUAAUACAGUCGGGGGAUGACGGUACCGGAAGAAUAAGCACCGGCUAACUACGUG
rnacentral:rRNA from 1 species